UUCCUCGCCCCACUUUAUUCAAUCUGCUGAGCUGCAUCUCCCCAGGAUGGAUCAACUAUCGCCGCAAAGAAUCAUCAGGCGCGCCGACACGGUUUUCAGCUCCAACUUCACCGUCAUCAUCAUCAUAUAAUAACAAUCCGAGUUCUGAGGUCUUAAAGGAGUAGGUUAUUAGUUCUGCGGUGAUUCGGCAUGGACAAAAUCUCCAUCAUGGCAUGUGUAUGGUGAGUUGCGUUCAUGGUGGUGUGGCAGGGAAUAAAGACGUUGGCAGCCACCUGCAAAUACCAAACCUCUGUCGCUCCUCCUCAAUAAAUUAUUUCCUAUACGCUACCCUUUUUACCUUCUUAGGAUGGCCAUGGACUGGGGCGAGCACGUAG
rnacentral:lncRNA from 1 species